AUCAUUUAAAGAGUGCGUAAUAGCUCACUAGUCGAGUGACACUGCGCCGAAAAUGUACCGGGGCUAAACAUAUUACCGAAGCUGUGGAUUGUCCUUUGGACAAUGGUAGGAGAGCGUUCUAAGGGCGUUGAAGCAUGAUCGUAAGGACAUGUGGAGCGCUUAGAAGUGAGAAUGCCGGUGUGAGUAGCGAAAGACGGGUGAGAAUCCCGUCCACCGAUUGACUAAGGUUUCCAGAGGAAGGCUCGUCCGCUCUGGGUUAGUCGGGUCCUAAGCUGAGGCCGACAGGCGUAGGCGAUGGAUAACAGGUUGAUAUUCCUGUACCACCUAUAAUCGUUUUAAUCGAUGGGGGGACGCAGUAGGAUAGGCGAAGCGUGCGAUUGGAUUGCACGUCUAAGCAGUAAGGCUGAGUAUUAGGCAAAUCCGGUACUCGUUAAGGCUGAGCUGUGAUGGGGAGAAGACAUUGUGUCUUCGAGUCGUUGAUUUCACACUGCCGAGAAAAGCCUCUAGAUAGAAAAUAGGUGCCCGUACCGCAAACCGACACAGGUAGUCAAGAUGAGAAUUCUAAGGUGAGCGAGCGAACUCUCGUUAAGGAACUCGGCAAAAUGACCCCGUAACUUCGGGAGAAGGGGUGCUCUUUAGGGUUAACGCCCAGAAGAGCCGCAGUGAAUAGGCCCAAGCGACUGUUUAUCAAAAACACAGGUCUCUGCUAAACCGUAAGGUGAUGUAUAGGGGCUGACGCCUGCCCGGUGCUGGAAGGUUAAGAGGAGUGGUUAGCUUCUGCGAAGCUACGAAUCGAAGCCCCAGUAAACGGCGGCCGUAACUAUAACGGUCCUAAGGUAGCGAAAUUCCUUGUCGGGUAAGUUCCGACCCGCACGAAAGGCGUAACGAUUUGGGCACUGUCUCAACGAGAGACUCGGUGAAAUCAUAGUACCUGUGAAGAUGCAGGUUACCCGCGACAGGACGGAAAGACCCCGUGGAGCUUUACUGUAGCCUGAUAUUGAAAUUCGGCACAGCUUGUACAGGAUAGGUAGGAGCCUUUGAAACGUGAGCGCUAGCUUACGUGGAGGCGCUGGUGG
rnacentral:rRNA from 1 species